rnacentral:rRNA from 1 species
GUAGGCUGAAACUCGCCUACAUGAAGCUGGAGUUACUAGUAAUCGCAGAUCAGAAUGCUGCGGUGAAUGCGUUCCCGGGUCUUGUACACACCGCCCGUCACACCACGGGAGUUGGAGCCGCCCGAAGCCGAUUAUCUAACCUUUUGGAAGAAGUCGUCGAAGGUGGAAUCAAUAACUGGGGUGAAGUCGUAACAAGGUAGCCGUAUCGGAAGGUGCGGCUGGAUCACCUCCUUUCUAAGGAGA